UACGGGGGGGGCAAGCGUUGUUCGGAAUUACUGGGCGUAAAGGGCGCGUAGGCGGCCCUCUAAGUCGGACGUGAAAUCCCUCGGCUCAACCGGGGAACUGCGUCCGAUACUGGAGGGCUUGAAUCCGGGAGAGGGAUGUGGAAUUCCAGGUGUAGCGGUGAAUUGCGUAGAUAUCUGGAGGAACACCGGUGGCGAAGGCGGCAUCCUGGACCGGUAUUGACGCUGAGGCGCGAAAGCUAGGGUAGCAAACGGG
rnacentral:rRNA from 1 species